rnacentral:rRNA from 1 species
AAUCAACGCUGGCGGCGUGCCUAACACAUGCAAGUCGCACGAGAAAGGGACUUCGGUCCUGAGUAAAGUGGCGCACGGGUGAGUAACACGUGACUAAUCUACCCUCGAGUGGGGAAUAACCUAGGGAAACCUGGGCUAAUACCCCAUAACACUUACGUAGUCAAAGACAGCAAUAGCGCUUGGGGAGGGAGGUCGCGGCAGAUUAGCUAGUUGGGUGGGGUAAGUGGCCCACCCAAGGCGANGAUCUGUAUCCGGCCUGAGAGGGGCGCACGGACACACUGGAACUGAAACACGGUCCAGACUCCUACCGGGA